CGAGGUCAACUGAUGAUUACAAGUGCAUAGUUCAUAUGAUAAAAUCAUGAUUACAUGAACGAAAAUAGUCUUUCGCUCCUAUCUGAUGACCCUU
rfam:Hordeum vulgare subsp. vulgare, WGS project CAJW01000000 data, contig: morex_contig_138679